rnacentral:rRNA from 1 species
GACGGAGGAUGCAAGCGUUAUCCGGAAUGAUUGGGCGUAAAGCGUCCGCAGGUGGCAGUUCAAGUCUGCUGUCAAAGACCGGGGCUUAACUUCGGAAAGGCAGUGGAAACUGAACAGCUAGAGUAUGGUAGGGGCAGAGGGAAUUCCUGGUGUAGCGGUGAAAUGCGUAGAGAUCAGGAAGAACAUCGGUGGCGAAGGCGGCAUCCUGGACCGACACUGACGCUGAGGAGCGAAAGCCAGGGGAGCAAACGGG